rnacentral:rRNA from 1 species
UGGAACGAAUUCACUUUUAAACUUGUGCCUAAGGAUGGGGCUGCGGCGGAUUAGGUUGUUGGCGGGGUAAUAGCCCACCAAGCCUUUGAUCCGUAGGGGCUCUUAGCGGAGAAGCCCCGAGAGGGAAUCUGAGACACUAUUCCCAGCCCUACGGGGUGCAGCAGUUAGGAAUAAUCUGCAAUGCGCGAAAGCGUGACAGUUUGAGUCAGAGUGCUCCUCAUUGAGGAGCUUUUGCUAAAUGUAAAAAGUUUGGCGAAUAAGGACUGGGCAAGACGAGUGCCAGCCGCCGCGGUAAUACUCGCGGUCCAGGUCGCAACCAUAAUUAUUGGGUCUAAAACAUCCGUAGCUUGUCGAGUAAGUUUCUUGUGAAAUCUCACCUCUUAAAGGUGGGGCGAGCGAGAAAUACUGUUCGGCUAGAGACCGGAAGACGGAAGAAGUACGUUUAAAGUAACGGUAAAAUGUGUUGAUCUUAAACGGACUCACAAUAGCGAAGGCAUCUUUCGAGUACGGUUCUGACAGUCAGGGAUGAAGGCUAGGGGCGCAAAACAGAUUAGAUACCUGUGUAGUCCUAGCAGUAAACGCUGCACACUAAACAUCGGUACCUCUUCGAGAGGCAUCGGUGCUGUAGGGAAGCCGUAGAGUGUGCUACCUGGGAAGUAUAGCCGCAAGGCCGAAACUUAAAGGAAUAGGCGGGGAGACACUACAAUGGGUGACGCGUGCGGUUCAAUUGGAUUAUACACCGAGAAUCUCACCAGGAGCGACAGCAGAAUGAAGGUCAGUCUAAAGGGCUUACCUGACACGCUGAGAGGAGUUGCAUGGCUGUGUUAAGUCUGUGCCGUGAGGUGACCUGUUAAAUCAGGUAACAGACAGGACCCACAUGUAUAUUUACUACGUGUAAAAUAUACAGAUUGCCUUGGAAACGAGGAUGAAAGUGUGGGCUAUCGCAGGUCAGUACAGCCCGAAUCCCCUGGGCAACACGCGCGCGGCAAUGGUGGAUACAAGGAGAUGCGACUCCGAAAGGAGAAGCUAAUCUCAUAAAGUCCGCCCUAGUUCAGAUUGAGGUUUGUAACUCAGCCUCAUGACGCUGGAAUCCAUAGUAAUCGUUUGUUAUCAGCGAACGGUGAAUACGUCACGGUCUCUUGCACUCACUGCCCGUCAAACCAACCAAGUUAUGUUAUGAUGAAACUUUUCGAAGGAGAGUCAAGAUAUAGCAAGGUAGGUUAAGUCGACACAAGGU